UCCCUUUCUCUAUCCAAUCUCCAUCGACCUACUACAACCGCCGCCUCCUCCUCGAUCCAUGUGCUCUCCCUUUGCCGCCGCCACCGGAGAGGCUUGCCUCCGCGGCCGCACGCCUUACAUCCGAUGGAAGGAAAAGGAGGAAGAGGCCCGCACUGUCCUGUUCUCCGAGGUGGUGGAGGAGCAUCCGAGGGCGAUGACGGCGUCCUUGGCCGAGCAGACGGACGAAAGGGGGGAGAGGGGUGUAGCCGCUCAUGGGGAUCGAGGGGAAGGAGAAAGGUGAUGAUGAUGCCGGCUACUUGGGGAAGGGGAUGCGGGCGACCUGGGGUGAGUCAAGCGACCUGAGGCGAGGACGGUGGCGACCUAUGGAAGGAAUGGGACGCCGGUGACCUUGGGAAGGAAGGGGAGGCCGGCGAAUUGGGGUAGGGGAUGCGGGUGACCUGGGGAACGGCGGCUGGGAGCUGCUCAGCCCGUCGUCGCUGUCGGCCGCCGGCGACCACCACCCGUUGCUUGGAGGAUGAGGGGAAUGGAGAAAGAGGAGUAGUAUCAGGAAGGAGUUUUGGGCGAUGGGCAGCCGCGCCAGGCGACAUGCUCGCGGUGCCGCUUGGUGGUGAGAUGAGGCUGCCCCAUGCUCUGUUCUGAUGGGCCUCCUCUGCUCGAUGGUUGCACUGGUUGAGUUUGGUACGGUUCCUGUUGUCGGCUGCGUCGAGCCUUGGGUCUUGUCUGUCCUUCGCGUUGAGAUAAAUAGCACAGAAAACAUAUCAGUGCUCUAUCUGUGUCUAAGGGCUCCAAGAGAUGCAGUCAUAGAUAGUGACUGGUCCCUGAAGUUUGGGAUGUUAAGGAUAAAAUCAAGAAGUUUUCAGAAACUUUUAGUUGUGGCUCAUGGGUUGGAGCAACUGGGAAACCAUUGACAAAUGUGGUCUCAGUUGGAGUUGGUGGUAGCUUCCUUGGACCUCUGUUUGUGGAUGUAGCUCUCCAGAUUGGUUGGAGGCAUUGGUGUGAGGGCAUUGUGGUGACGUGCUCCUCCAUGCCUCAUGCGAGUUCUUGGUGUCGCGAUCAUGUCUCCAGAGAGCAGUGCUUCAAGGUCACUUAAGCUUGAAUGGGUUAUCAAGUCUACUGGAACCAUUCAUGUUAGCCUUGUUCAUUGCUUUUAGGACAGACGCUCCCUUAAGUAUGUUUAAUCACAGUUAAAAGAAGGAAGCCAAAUUAUUGCAAUGUGUGGCUGCAGGUAAAGUUGUCAAGUUGAUCUGGUGCUUGCUUGAGCCAUUGAUUACUGCUGCUUUGCUAAGGUUCAAUGUCUUACUACAUGAGAAAUUUAUUCCAAUGCUUUCUCAAUUCCUUUACCAUGAUGACUACCAGAGGAACCUUCAAUGUGGAUAGAUGGUGAUGGAUAUGGGGACACACAAGAACUAGCAAACUUAAUACCAGAUGCCCUCAACUAUGAAUUCUUUAAUUAUUGGAGGCUUUCAUAUUCAUAUCAAUACAAGGUGGAAUAUGAUGCAGGCUUUAGAAUCACUAAGGUUGCUCUUUCUCUGUUCCUUUGGUCAAGAUAACUUAUAUCCAGCCAAGCGCUUGCCUUGACGUCCUCACAGCUGGAGAUCCAUGACUAAGAGCUCUCCCCAAUGUAUGCAGGUCUCCAUUCAAGCGGAUGAUGACAAAUGUAUGAUGGAUAGAGAGGAAUAAGUUUUCUAGAAAACGUCUUCGUAUUUUAGUGUAUGGUUUUUUAGAGAGGAGGCGCUUUCCCGGCUUUAGCGAAAUGAAGCCCUUAAAGCGUUUACAACCAGAGUAGCAAAACGAGAAUAAAAAAGGGGUUCGAUACAAGCCACACAGGGCUAACACACAAGGCCGAACGAAAACGAAAAACUGAGCAUAACGGAGGAUCAGUCUCCAGGCAUAUUUUUAGUGAAAUAAGGUGGGUACAAGUAAUUUUAGAUCCAAAUUUAGAGCUCUUGCCAGUAAUCAGUAGCAAAAUUCAAGAUUGCCGAGAAGAGAGGUGAACCUAAAGGCUUUAGCACUAUUGUUAGGAUGCUAUGUUGCUUCCAGGCUAUGGAUAAGAAUAGUUCAGUCGCUUGAGAGAUUGUUGAACAUAUGAAAUUGUUGGAAAUCUCUGGGCACCCUCAAGUUAAGCUGCUUGAAAACCAAGUUCAAAUAUGUGUGAGGGUAGUGCAGUUGGGCAUGCGAUUCUAUUGCACCUGAUGUAAUCGGACCAUUAGAUCAGUUUUGAAAUAGUGAUCUUCGAACAAUUUUUUUUGUACUUGUAGGGAUAGUUUUCAUUACUUGAGACAUUUCCCAGAACCAUUAGUAGUCUUGUACAUUGAAUCAAUUUAUUAUACGGCUUUGUUAUUCCUAGGGACAUGUUGAUUGUUUUUCCAUUACAUAGCAUUGUUUUACGGCUAUCGGGCUACCAUCUGUUCCUUGAGGCUGGUGAUUGUACCGUAUUCGUGAUGAUACGUAUGUCCCUUUUAUGUUCCAUUCUUCAGAUAUUAAUGUUGUCAUCUUAAUCAGAACUGAGCAUCGGUUAUGGGCUUUUGGAUUGUGAUCAUCGUUGUUGUGCUGACAUACUUCCCAAGAAGAAACAAAGCUUUUGCCUCCAUUUUUUCGGACUUGUGCCUGUUUUGCCCUACAAAGAUAAGAACGGAUGGUCUUUUCAAGAUUAUUUUUAUUUAAGAUUAUUUUGUGAUUAUCUUUGUAGGGCAAAUCCCACUUUUGGAACACAUUUUAAGAUUUUGGAUCUGGCAUUUUCAAGAUUAUUUCGUACCAUAAAAAAAUUCAUUUAAUUUGCUCAUCUAACAGUAAAGUUAACAAGGCUCAGGAAUCAUUUUGUGUGUGUGUGUGUGUGUGCGUGUUCUAAAGCAACAAGGUCAUCUGGACCUCGCCAGAAAAAUGAGAUCAUCCCAUUUAUAACUGUAGUGCAAAACAUUUUAGAAGAAAAUGCAGACAGGAAUUACACCGUAGACUAAUUUAUAGCAACGUAGUCUUAUCGUACAAAAAACGUCAGGUGCGCUUCCAUACUCAUAGUAAAAUUAUAGCAAGAACAUUUAUGUUUUAUAGGGCUUUUUUGAUGUGCCAUAGGGCUUCUCACGUGCAUGAUGUAAAUUAUUGCCAUGCAGAAGGUAAUAUUACGUGGCUCCUUUUUGGUUUACGGAAUGGAGAACGGUUCCUUCUUUAGAUGUAAUCUUACCUAAAAUGCUUUUGUGUUCUCACAUUUUAAAGGUGUGGCUGUGGGAGAUGGCUGGGGUGAGGAAUAACUAUUCCUUUCUUCUACUCUUUCUUGAUGUAUGCUGUCAUAUAUUGCUUCUCUACUUGCUCAAAAUCAAAUUUGCAUCUAUGAAAAGGUAAGAAAUUAAGGCCAGUGAGAUGGCAGUAGAUUGGCAUGUUUACAG